CAGCCGCCGCGGGAAUACAGAGGGUGCAAGCGUUAAUCGGAAUUACUGGGCGUAAAGCGCGCGUGGGUGGUUUGUUAAGUUGGAUGUGAAAUCCCCGGGCUCAACCUGGGAACUGCAUUCAAAACUGACUGACUAGAGUAUGGUAGAGGGUGGUGGAAUUUCCUGUGUAGCGGUGAAAUGCGUAGAUAUAGGAAGGAACACCAGUGGCGAAGGCGACCACCUGGACUAAUACUGACACUGAGGUGCGAAAGCGUGGGGAGCAAACAGGAUUAGAUACCCCCGUAGUCCCUGUCUCUUAUAC
rnacentral:rRNA from 1 species